GUGCAGCAGUCGCGAAAACUCCGCAAUACGCGAAAGCGUGACGGGGCCAUCCCGAGUGCCGUCCGCUGAGGAUGGCUUUUCCCUAGUGUAGAUAGCUGGGGGAAUAAGGAGAGGGCAAGUCUGGUGUCAGCCGCCGCGGUAAUACCAGCUCCCCGAGUGGUUGGGACGAUUAUUGGGUCUGAAGCGUCCGUAGCCGGCCGGAAAAGUUCCCCGUUAAAUCUGGCGAUCCAAUCGUUGGGCUGCGGGGAAUAAUCUUCGGCUUGUGGGCGAGGGAGGUCGGCGGUAGUCCCGGGGUAGGGGCGAAAUCCUAUAAUACCGGGAGGAACACCAGUGGCGAAGGCGGCCGACUAAAACGCGCCCGACGGUGAGGGACGAAAGCUGGGGGAGCGAACGGGAUUAGAUAUGAAGGUGAGU
rnacentral:rRNA from 1 species